UGGUGUCAGCCGCCGCGGUAAAACCAGCACCUCAAGUGGUCAGGAUGAUUAUUGGGCCUAAAGCAUCCGUAGCCGGCUCUGUAAGUUUUCGGUUAAAUCUGUACGCUCAACGUACAGGCUGCCGGGAAUACUGCAGAACUAGGGAGUGGGAGAGGUAGACGGUACUCGGUAGGAAGUGGUAAAACGCUUUGAUCUAUCGAUGACCACCUGUGGCGAAGGCGGUCUACCAGAACACGUCCGACGGUGAGGGAUGAAAGCUGGGGGAGCAAACCGGAUUAGAUACCCGGGUAGUCCCAGCUGUAAACUAUGCAAACUCAGUGAUGCAUUGGCUUGUGGCCAAUGCAGUGCUGCAGGGAAGCCGUUAAGUUUGCCGCCUGGGAAGUACGUACGCAAGUAUGAAACUUAAAGGAAUUGGCGGGGGAGCACCACAAGGGGUGAAGCCUGCGGUUC
rnacentral:rRNA from 1 species